rnacentral:rRNA from 1 species
CCCUUCGGGGACAUUGGUGACAGGUGGUGCAUGGUUGUCGUCAGCUCGUGUCGUGGGAUGUUGGGUUAAGUCCCGCAACGAGCGCAACCCUUGUCUUUAGUUGCCAGCAUUAAGUUGGGCACUCUAGGGAGACUGCCAGGGAUAACCUGGAGGAAGGUGGGGAUGACGUCAAAUCAUCAUGCCCCUUAUGCUUAGGGCUACACACGUGCUACAAUGGGUAGUACAGAGGGUUGC